CAGAACCACCACCAUUCAACAGAACCAAUGUAAGAGCACGAUACUUUUUAAGCACAUAUGUGGUUUUUUCAUACUCGGCUACUCGCUAUGCUAACAAUGGAUCUUCGUUUUGGCGAUGUCAUUGAUGACGUGGCUCGAUACUUUAAGGAUGCAUAUGACAGAAAACUUGCACCAUACAAGUUUGUUGAAGGCAUGAUUGACAGAACAAUUGAGAAGCUAUGGCCUAACAAUCCAAUGCUGGCAUGCGAUAGUUCCUGCCAAAGUAAUAGAAGGAACAUCGGUGAAUAUCUCGAAGCUGACAGGGAUGAAUUGUACCAUCUGGACUAUUGUGUUUGACCCGGCGCAUAGAAGAGGCGAACCUGAUGUCACGAGAAGAACACCUGAUUAUAUCUUGUGAAGUUGAGUAAUACUCAUGACUGGUUGAAUCGGUGUUUUGAUCUAACAAAUAUCGACGAAAGUUCUUCAUUGGUGGAUGCGUGAAAGUUCUUCAUUGAUUCGCUAUUCCACGCUGCACUAUCGACGCAUUGCGCGUGUUUGAUUAACGAGCUGCGCUUCUUCGUCCUCUUUCGGAGACUAAAACAUUGGAUCUUCUUGAUGUUAGUUGUACUGCUAAAGGAGGUGGUAUCUCAGGUAAUUACAAGUUACCCCCUCCCUCUCCAGUUCCUGUACUACAUUUUGUAAAUUUUCAAUUUUUUUAACAAAAUAAAAUCUGAAUGAAACAGAUCAAAUUUGUUCAAUAAGUUUUUCUGUUCAAGCUGAUGCUAAACUUGCAAGAUUUUUUCAUGCUAAACAGGAAGAAAACAAAGUUUUUUUUUUUUUUUCAAAAACAGCAGCAGCAAAUAGAAAUCAAGGGUUUAAAUAAUAUGUUUCGACGCCGUAUGCGAAGAAGCUGGCGAAACAGCAUAAGGUUGAUAUUAUUAAGGUGGUUAAGCCUGGGCCAUCUGAGAGGAUUACUGCAGCUGAUAUGGAAGCUGCUGCAGGAAUCGCGCCUUCGGAAAGUGUGGGAUUCCUAUGGUAACUGCUGCUGCUGCUCCUCCUGUGGCUAAAUCGGUACCUGCAUUUGCUGCAGUGCCUGGGGUGACGAUUGUUCUGUUUACUACUAUCCAAGGUGCAGUGUCGUAGAACAUGAUCGAGAGCUUGUCUGUGCCAAUGUUUCGCGUUGGUCAUCCUGUUAUGACUGCUCUUGAUGCGAAGGUCGAGUUCUAAACUUAUUUAAUUCUAAGUGUUGUUUGAUCAUGUGUAUACUUGUUUUAAUUCUAGCAAAUGUUGCAAGGUCAAAGCUGGAAACUGCAGAUCCAUAUAGCAAGUGCUAGCAAGAAAUAUGCAAAGCAUUUCUUAAGGGUUACUGGAACCCAUAUUUAAUUUAAGUAUUGAACAAUGAAGAUGUCAUACUUCCCUUAUGUUAACUACAUAGUGUUUCAAACAACCCCCUACCCUCAAAAAUAUGUCUUCUGUUUCAAACCAUAAAUAAGAUAUAUUUGUCGUUUUGUGUAAAUCGA